UGAGGAAUAUUGCCCAAUGGACGCAAGUCUGAGGCAGCGACGCCGCGUGGGUGAUGAAGGCCUUCGGGUCGUAAAGCCCUUUUCUGUGUGACGAGCAAGGACGGUAGCACAGGAAAAAGUCUCGGCUAACUACGUGC
rnacentral:rRNA from 1 species